ACUGCAAAAAAAAAAAAAAAAAACACCUCAUUGAAUAGGAUUCAUUGAGUGAUAAGACUUGUACCCUUUCAUGGUGCAUAAUUGUUAGCGGGGGAGAAAAAGCAUUAAAAAAAUAAUAAUAAAGCCCUUCCAAGGCUCCCGAUUGUGACCACUAAGCCUCUUCAUCUUAUGUUUAGGGCACCGCGUGAGCUGACCCCAAACUUCCCCUGGGCUCACUUCCUCGUACACCUCCCCAUGCCCUUAUGCCCCCGCCAUUCCUCUCUGCUCACUCUUCUGGAACAAGCUCUGUGUUGGCUUAUGCUGGUCCCUCUGCCUGAAAUGUCCCUAUUCUCCUUCUCCUCCUAUUGAGUCAGACCCUCCUUUCAAGACACAGACCACCUCCCAGUGAAGUAUUCCCUGAUAUCCCCCAGGGCUUCCUGAGCAGGCCUGGACUUAGGCUUCUGUUUUAGUCCGUCUGGGCUGCUAUAACAAAAAUAGCAUAACCUGGGUGGCUUAUCAACAAACGUUUAUUACUCAUACUUUUGGAGACUGGAAGUCUAAGGUCAUGGUGCCGGCAAACUUGGUGUCUGGCAAGAACCCUCUUCCUGGUUAGUAGUCGGUGCCUUCUCACUGUGUCCUCACGUGGUGAAGGGGUGAAGGAGCUCUCUGGGGCCUCGUUUAUAAGGGCACCAAUCCCAUUCAUGUGGUCUCUGGCUUCAUGACCUAAUCACCCCCCAAAGGUCCCACCACCCAAUACUAUCACCUUGGGAGUUAGAAUCUCAACAUAUGAAUUUGGGGGGGCCACAAGCAGCUAGACCCUAGUAGCUUCUUUCACACCACCAUGUGCUCACCCACUCACCGGGUCACUCUUGCCGGGCCUGAGUGCCUUGGGGUUCCUUUGUCUCUGCCUCCAAGUGGCAAUGCCCUUCACACAGUGAGUGUCCAGGAUUUGACCACUAAUGUGCAUUGUGGGGGAGAAGUUCAGAACUUCUCUGGUGUCAGAGUUUCUUCCUGGAUGAUGUGGGAAGUUGCAUUUACCCCCAGACUGCCCUUGACCUUGGCCCAGUGUGCCCCUUCCUCACACAGCCCAGGCAGGAAUCUGCAAUGGGCAAAAGGACUCUCUUUAGGGCAGCCUCUUCAGUGUUCCCAACAAGAGAGCUGCUGAUGGAAUGGAUGCCAGGCUGGGAGUAAGCAGGCUGUGCCAGGCCAGAGUCUGCAGACCCAUUCUCUAUUGUGUCAGCUCCUAGUCUAUGUCCCCAGCUGGGGAAAUGGGUUUGAGACUGGCCAUGAGGCCAAUGUCCCUGGGGUCCUGCUGGGCUUUGCUCUGUAACAUCAUGACUUUGUCCAGGUGUGUCCUAAAUAGUCUCCCUGCUUCCCCUUUUAGUCUGUUCUCAACUUAGCAACCAGAGCAAACCUUUUAACACAUAACUCUGCUCAUUACACUUCAGUGUCUCCCAUUUCACUCAAAGGAAAAGCCAUGCCCUCACAUUGACCUCCAAUGCCUUACCCAAUAUAGUUCCCAGUUGCCUGUAUCAUCUCUUCUCCUAUCUCUCUGCACCCUGCCCCUCACUCUCUUCUAGCCCCGCUGGCCUCCUUGCCGUACCUCAAACGUUCCAGACAUGCUCCUACCUCAGGGCCUUUGCACUGCCUGUUCCCUCUGCCUGGAACCCACUUCUCUCAGAUACCCCCAUGGCUCACUCCUCUGCCUCCUUCAAGCUUUGCUCAAACAUCAGCCUCUCAGAGAGAACUCCUCCUAUUUAACAUUGCAACCCCUCUCAAUCCCCAUCACCCUGCCCGGUAUUUUUUUCCUUAGGCUUUAUCACCUUCUAACAUACAUUGCACCUGUCUUGUUUAUUGUUGGUUCCCCUCCCUCAAACCCCACUGGAUUUAAAGACCUAUCAGGACAGUUCUUUUUCUGGUGUGCUCACUGAUAAGUUCUAAGGGCUCAGAACAAUGCCUGAUACCCAGCAGGUGCGAGACUGCAGAGGUGCCCUAGGCCCUGAGCAGGCCCCACUCCUGCGGGCAUGUGUGUAGCCCAGGGCGAGGGCUCCCUUGUGCUCACAAGGCUGCUCUCAGCCCCACAACCACAGCCUGUCAGAGCAGAUGGGAGCUCAGAGGACCCAGGCCAAGCUUUCUUCAGCACCCACCACCCUACAGCCACCAGACUUGCCUAUCUCCCCAGAGAUAAGACUUCUCUCUUCUGCCUCCCCGAUCUCUAGCCCAGUAGUUGCUCAGUGCAGCUUUGAACUAGAACAACCUCCUACUUUAUAGCUGGAGAAACAGAGUCCCCAAGAGGGGAGGGGACUUUUGCAAUUCUGGGACAGGGUUAGGAUUUGAACCCAGGUUUCUUUUCUCCUAGCCCAGUGUGCAGAAAGAAGGUAUAUGCAGAAAACCAAGGCCUUAGAGGGUGCUCCAGGCCCUGCCUCUGCUCCACGCAAGCUCACCUACCAACACCAAGCCAGAGAAUCCAGGCUCUGCCUACUCACCCCUGCCCACAAGGAAGAGGGCAGCCAAGGCCAGGGUGACCACCCACAGGCGAACAGCCAUGCUGAUCCUGGGCUGACGUGGCCUGAGUGAGCUGGGGCCUGGGCCAGGGACGAUAGAGGCCCGUUUAUAGUGCUGAUCCCCACCCUUAUCUUACCUGAGGCCAGAUGGAGAGGCCGGAGGUGUCACCUAUCUGCACCUUGGCAUCUAGAAAGGGUUUGUUCUCUGCAGAGACGCUGAGCUUGUGGUGGCCUGGGGCGGGGGCUGGGGCUAUGGCCAGCAGAUUUUGGAAGUGAGAAAAAGUUUGGACAACUUGCAAAGCUGACUCCAGACUGAGGGCUGAAGCAAGAGGCAGAGGGAAACAAGUAGAAAGAGGAAGACAGGGGCUUCCCUGGUGGCGCAGUGGUUAAGAAUCCGCCUGCCAAUGCAGGGAACAUGGGUUUGAGCCCUGGUCGGGGAAGAUCCCAUGUGCCACGGAGCAACUAAGCCCGUGCGCCACAACUACUGAGCCUACGCUCUAGAGACCACGUGCCACAACUACUGAAGCCUGCGCUCCUAGAGCCCGUGCUCCGCAACCAGAGAAGCCACUGCAAUGAGAUGCCUGCGCACUGCAACAAAGAGUAGCCCCCGCUCACCGCAACUAGAGAGAAAGCCUGUGCACAGCAACGAAGACCCAACACAGGCAAAAAUAAAUAAAUAAAAUAAAUAAAUUUAUUUAAAAAAAAGAGGAAAACAAAGAGAGACUAAUUCAGAGAGACUGAGACAGAGAUAUCAAAAAGAAAACAAAAAAGCAGCAAUUGGAAGGUGGUCAGAGGCAGAGAAAAGGGGCUGGAGUCAUGGGUUCCUUUGGCCAGUGCUGACACUAACCAACUUCGUGAGCUCAGAAAAGCUGCUUUUGUUAAACUGGACCUCAGUUUACCCACCAUAAAAUGGGGAAGAUAAUUCUGGCUCUGUCUCCCUCCUAGGGCUGCUGUGAAGACGAGAGGUGGUGAUAGCAGAUGGGAAAACACUUUGCAGAGUAUGAAAUAAGACCUUCCUACAGCAGCCCCACCAAGAAGUCAUUCAUCCUCCAGUGAUGGGGAGAAGUUUCAUUGUUGGAUGGGUUUUUCUUAAGGGGUCUCAGCUAAGAACUCAGAAGGGUAGAGAAAACAUUAUUUUUUCUCCCCUACAACAGCAAAACAAAACAAAACAGCAAAGUACCAACACCAGCACUGCCCCUGCCCUUAGGAGGUCUUACGUGUGAUGCAUCUCCCAGCAGGGGGUGCCUCUCUGCACCCUCCAGGGGCCAGAAGAGAUGAGGUGAGCACCCAGUGCCUGGAUACACCAGGAUGAAGACUUCUAGCUAUUCUACCUAGAUACUCCAAAGAAUCGGCCAGGGUCUCAGCAGAAAACAGAUGGCUUACUCAACGCAGUCACUGAAGAGUUUCAUAAUGGGACUACCUACAAAGAUGCCAGCAAGCCUAGGGUAACACGUAAGAAAUGGUGAGGCACUCAGGACCAGAAAUGUGUGAGGGCGUUACCACCCCUAGUCCUAGGAGCAACAGCAAAAGCUGCAGCUGUGCGAGCGAGACCGUCGCACAGGGAUUUAGGAGGAGGGAUGCAGCCAUGGCCUCCCCCGUGGUCUGGCUGAGAGGGAACUAGGGGAGUAAUGACUCUGACAUCUCUCUCCACCUGCCCUCUAUCUCUUUUCAGGGCCUCCCAUUGGCCCAACUGAAUGGGAAGGCAGGGGAACAAGUAUUCUGCAGAGGUCAACCUCCCAGUAUACAGAGAGAUUGGAAAACGGUGGACAAAGGAUUUGAAGGGGCAAGUGAAGAAUAACUAGCCCACGUGAUUUGUGCUGAGGAGGAAAAAACCAAAAGAAACAGGCACAUUAAUACUUUUCAAAUCCUAUCUAUUAUUGGACUUCCAA